rnacentral:lncRNA from 1 species
UGCUUGCCCAUGGAAGGGUCUCAAGUCGGGUCAACCAUUGGUUGGCCAUUCCCUCAGUCUCUGCUGUCUCUGUCCCUGCACAUCUUGUUGGCAGGACACAUUUUGGGUUUAAGGUUUUGUGGGUGGGUUGGUAUCCUUAUCCCUCCACUGGAGUCCUGCCCAGCUACAGGAAAUGGCCACCUCAGGCUCCAUAUCCCCCACUGCUAUGAGUCUCAACUAGAGUCACCCCCAUAGACUCCCUGGGGCCUCUCUUCCCUGUCCCAGGUCUUUGGCGUGUCCUAGAGAGUCGCUCCCCCAAGUCCCAUGAUGGUUUUUGUUCUCUCUCCCAUUCUCCAUACACUGAUCUUUCUCCAUAUUGUCUUAAUGUUUGAGACAGUACUUUAUCAUUCUGGCCUUGAACUCACUGUAGAGCCCAGGAAGGACUUGGACUUGAUCCUCUUGCUUCUGCCUGCCAAGUAGCCUGGAUUCUAGACCUACACCACCAGGUGACCAGCUUGGUGCCUCCCACCUUUCUUAAAAAUCUCAACAAAGCUGACAUGAAGGUAAUGUCUGGGUGAGACAGUAGUUUGGUGUUUGUUUAGACCUUGUCUUCUGUUGGAAUCGCCUUCUCAUGUUUCUCUUUACGCUAACUCUUCUGUUGAAGUGUGGUUGGAGUCAGAGACAUCCCAGUUUUACCUUUGUUAGUACAGUUUGAUAACUAGGAGAAUGAAUUAAUGGUAAAUGAUAAGUGUAGACCAGUCGAGGUCUAAUCGUGUACGCCAGCUACCUAUU